GGGUUGUGAGGUUAAGCGACUAAGCGUACACGGUGGAUGCCCUGGCAGUCAGAGGCGAUGAAGGGCGUGCUAAUCUGCGAUAAGCGCCGGUAAGGUGAUAUGAACCGUUAUAACCGGCGAUACCCGAAUGGGGAAACCCAGUGUGAUUCGUCACACUAUCAUUAACUGAAUCCAUAGGUUAAUGAGGCGAACCGGGGGAACUGAAACAUCUAAGUACCCCGAGGAAAAGAAAUCAACCGAGAUUCCCCCAGUAGCGGCGAGCGAACGGGGAGGAGCCCAGAGCCUGAAUCAGCAUGUGUGUUAGUGGAAGCGUCUGGAAAGGCGCGCGAUACAGGGUGACAGCCCCGUACACAAAAGCGCAUGUGCUGUGAGCUCGAUGAGUAGGGCGGGACACGUGGUAUCCUGUCUGAAUAUGGGGGGACCAUCCUCCAAGGCUAAAUACUCCUGACUGACCGAUAGUGAACCAGUACCGUGAGGGAAAGGCGAAAAGAACCCCGGCGAGGGGAGUGAAAAAGAACCUGAAACCGUGUACGUACAAGCAGUGGGAGCACCCUUUGGGGUGUGACUGCGUACCUUUUGUA
rnacentral:rRNA from 1 species